rnacentral:rRNA from 1 species
GCUCAGGAUGAACGCUGGCGGCGUGCUUAACACAUGCAAGUCGAACGAAGCACUUUAACCUGAUUCUUCGGAUGAAGGCUUUUGUGACUGAGUGGCGGACGGGUGAGUAACGCGUGGGUAACCUGCCUCAUACAGGGGGAUAACAGUUAGAAAUGACUGCUAAUACCGCAUAAGACCACGGAGCCGCAUGGCUCAGUGGGAAAAACUCCGGUGGUAUGAGAUGGACCCGCGUCUGAUUAGGUAGUUGGUGGGGUAACGGCCUACCAAGCCAACGAUCAGUAGCCGACCUGAGAGGGUGGCCGGCCACAUUGGGACUGAGACACGGCCCAAACUCCUACGGGAGGCAGCAGUA